rnacentral:lncRNA from 11 species
GGGACAAGAUGUUCAGCUUUGCUUCAAAUCAACAAACAGAAUGGGGAGUCAGUGUUGGAGUUGGGAGAUGCAAAGUCAUGCAAACAACUGGGAACUCUGAACCAGUGUUUAGACCUAAAGAUCAGAUUGUUGCAGUCUCCCCCACAAAGAAGAAACAGAAGUAAGAGGAGAAAGAGAAGAAUGAGAAGGAGAAACUUUCCAAAGUUUCAGCAGAAUGGAAUGGGAGAAGGAAAAAUAAGAAAUCAACUCUAACGACCUCAUCAGAUGGGGGUGAAUUAUGGUGG